rnacentral:rRNA from 1 species
UGGUGCAUAUAAUAAGCGGAGGAAAAGAAACUAACAAGGAUUCCCCUAGUAACGGCGAGUGAAGCGGGAAGAGCUCAAAUUUGAAAUCUGGUAGCCUUCGGUUGCCCGAGUUGUAAUCUAGAGAAGUGUUUUCCGUGCCGGCCCAUGUACAAGUCCCUUGGAACAGGGCGUCAUAGAGGGUGAGAAUCCCGUCCUUGACAUGGACCCCCGGUGCUUUGUGAUACACUUUCAACGAGUCGAGUUGUUUGGGAAUGCAGCUCAAAAUGGGUGGUGAAUUCCAUCUAAAGCUAAAUAUUGGCGAGAGACCGAUAGCGAACAAGUACCGUGAGGGAAAGAUGAAAAGCACUUUGGAAAGAGAGUUAAACAGUACGUGAAAUUGUUGAAAGGGAAACGAUUGAAGUCAGUCAUGCUCUUGGGACUUACCUCCCUUGAGUGGGGUCAACAUCAGUUUUGAUCGAUGGAUAAAGGCACUAGGAAGGUAGCACUCUCGGGUGAACUUAUAGCCUAGCGUCAUAUACAUUGAUUGGGACUGAGGAACGCAGCAUGCCUUUUGGCCGGGAUUCGUCCACGUACAUGCUUAGGAUGUUGACAUAAU